UACGGGGGGAGCAAGCGUUGUUCGGAUUUACUGGGCGUAAAGGGCGCGUAGGCGGCCACCGCAAGUCGACUGUGAAAUCUCCGGGCUUAACCCGGAAAGGUCAGCCGAUACUGCGGGGCUAGAGUGCAGAAGGGGCAACUGGAAUUCUCGGUGUAGCGGUGAAAUGCGUAGAUAUCGAGAGGAAGACCAGUGGCGAAGGCGGCAUCCUGGACCGGCAUUGACGCUGAGGAGCGAAAGCUAGGGGAGCAAACGGG
rnacentral:rRNA from 1 species